rnacentral:lncRNA from 1 species
GGAGACAGGGGCGGCGGCGCUGUGGUCUCGACCGCUGCCGUGCCUUGCUGGUCGAGACAGAGGGAGCAGGAGGCGGCGAUGGCAGCCCCGCUGCUGCUGUCGGCCAGGAGGUGAAGGAGAUGAGGGAGGCGGUGACUAGGCGGCGCUGCUGUCGACGUGGGAGCGACGAUGGCGGCCGUUGCUACCGGCCGAAGGAGAGAGGGAGGGGGCUGUAGACACGGGGGUGAGGUCGUUGGAGAGAGAGACGACGCAGAGAGGGAGAGUGAGGGCGAGAGCCGCCAGCUCCGGCGGCGGCGUUGCCGUCUGGUGGCGGGGGGCAGGGGGAGACCGAGGGAGAGAGGGAGAAGGGAAAUAGAAGGGCUGCGUGAGUUGUGAAUUUUGGUGAGCU